rnacentral:rRNA from 1 species
ACGAAGUCUUCGGACUGAGUGGCGGACGGGUGAGUAACACGUGAGAACCUGCCUUAAGGUCGGGGAUAACAGUUGGAAACGACUGCUAAUACCGGAUGUGCCUACGGGUGAAAGAUUUAUUGCCUAAAGAUGGGCUCGCGUCUGAUUAGCUAGUUGGAGUGGUAAUGGCACACCAAGGCGACGAUCAGUAGCUGGUCUGAGAGGAUGAUCAGCCACACUGGGACUGAGACACGGCCCAGACUCCUACGGGAGGCAGCAGUGGGGAAUUUUCCGCAAUGGGCGAAAGCCUGACGGAGCAAGACCGCGUGAGGGAGGAAGGCUCUUGGGUUGUAAACCUCUUUUGUCAGGGAAGAACACAAUGACGGUACCUGACGAAUCAGCAUCAGCUAACUCCGUGCCAGCAGCCGCGGUAAUACGGAGGAUGCAAGCGUUAUCCGGAAUUAUUGGGCGUAAAGCGUCCGCAGGUGGUUGUACAAGUCUGCUGUCAAAGCGCGGAGCUUAACUCCGUAAAGGCGGUGGAAACUGUGCGACUAGAGUUCGGUAGGGGUCGCGGGAAUUCCCAGUGUAGCGGUGAAAUGCGUAGAUAUUGGGAAGAACACCGGUGGCGAAAGCGCGCGACUGGACCGAGACUGACACUCAUGGACGAAAGCUAGGGGAGCGAAAGGGAUUAGAUACCCCUGUAGUCCUAGCCGUA